UACGAAGGGGGCGAGCGUUGUUCGGAAUUACUGGGCGUAAAGGGCGCGCAGGCGGCUCAUCAAGUCAGAUGUGAAAGCCCCGGGCUCAACCUGGGAACUGCAUUUGGGACUGAUGAGCUAGAGUUCGGGAGAGGUGGGUGGAAUUCCCAGUGUAGAGGUGAAAUUCGUAGAUAUCGGGAGGAACACCUGUGGCGAAAGCGGCUCACUGGACCACAACUGACGCUGAGGCGCGAAAGCUAGGGGAGCAAACAGG
rnacentral:rRNA from 1 species